UGUAACACUACCUGUACAGUGCUGAUGAACCUGCCAAGCUUUUCCUAUGCAAGUUUCAAAGACGGCAAGUCAAAAGAUGCCUGUUCACUGCCUACCAUGAGCUGUCUACUUUGCUAAGAGAAGUAGAAAUGCUGGACUUCUGAUCUUGGAAUGCCACCUUGCAAGAGCAUGCAGUGAGAAGCCUUGCUCCUUUAUGGGAAGAACCACCUUUACACUCCUAGCACUCAAAGUUGAGAAAUCCUGGUGAGACCAUCGCACAGAGGAACAGAAACCUACCACCACCAUCACGGAACUUUACAAUGACCACCACAGCUUUGGGCUCCGCGUUGCUAGGAGCCAGUCUCCCACCUUCUGCCUGGUACCAAGGAUAAAGACAGAUGGCGAAGGCAGCAUGGAUGGUCAGAAACAGGGCUCAUGAAAAGCACAGAGCCCAUGCAUGUUCUGGGAUUUGGGCUCUGUCCCUGAGCGCUGGCAGAAGCAGGUUCUCACAGUUCUGGGCAAUGUACCACCCUUCUUCCUGCAGACUAUUCCACCAGCCAGAGCAGGCCAGGGAGAACUGGCAUGGCCUGUCUCAACAGCACUAGUUUAUGCCAACCUUGAUGCUUGCUGUAGGGCCAAGAAUAAGGUACUUGUUUAUCCACCUGCCUCUUCUAUCCAUUCCUGUUCGUCUGUGUAACGAACGUGUGUGUGUGUGUGUGUGUGUGUGUGUGUGUGUGUGUGUGUGUGUGUGUGUAUGUAUGUGUGGUGAGCAGUAGGAAGUGAAGAUGCUCACAGAAUAUUACUAUGGGCUGUGCUUCAGCGGCAUGCUUCUGAUUUUUGCAAGAUCUGUAGGAAG